UUCCAAAUCAAGAACAGAACUCAGAGCCAGUGAGGAAUGAAAAUGGGUAUAUCGCGUUGGAAAACAAGGAACUACUUAAGCCUGCGAUGUCAGUCUGAGACAAAUCUUCUUAGACUUAGAGAAAGAGCCCGAGCACACAAGCAGGGGAGGGGCAGAGGAAGGAGAAGCAGGCUCCUUCCCUGAGCAGGGAGCCCAACACAUGGCUCGAUCCCAGGACCCCAGGAUCAUGACCUGAGCAACAGCACUAAAUUGACUGAGUCACCCAGGCGCCCCAAGACACAUACUGAUUUAGAGCCUUGCUUCUUCAACGAUGGUCCUCAGACUAGCCGCAUCUGCAUUACUUGAGAGCUUACUAGAAACAUGGGAUCUUGGCUCUGCACAGACCUACUGAAUCAAAACCUGCAUUUGAACAACAUCUCCAGGUGUCUCUUAUCAGAUUAAAAUUUUGAGAAAUCCUUCCUCUUUAGGGCUUGGACUUUGGAUUUAAUGGACUCACUAUUUACUAAAUAAGGGUUUUAAUUUCCCUGGGCUUCAAUUUUCUUACCUGCUAGAUGGUGAUUAACCAAGAUAGCAGAGGAAAAUGCGUUGUUCAAUGCCAGGCAGAGACGCUCAGCAGAGGGUAGCAUUCAUCCCUGUGAGUAGGUCUUUCAGCGCCGA
rnacentral:lncRNA from 1 species